rnacentral:rRNA from 1 species
UACGUAGGGGGCAAGCGUUGUCCGGAUUUAUUGGGCGUAAAGAGCGUGUAGGCGGCCAGAUAGGUCUGCUGUGAAAACUCGAGGCUCAACCUCGAGCUGUCGGCGGAAACCAUCCGGCUAGAGUCCGGAAGAGGAGAGUGGAAUUCCCGGUGUAGCGGUGAAAUGCGCAGAUAUCGGGAGGAACACCAGUGGCGAAGGCGGCUUCCUGGCCUGUUCUUGACGCUGAGGCGCGAAAGCUAGGGGAGCAAACGGG